AGCCACAGCCAUGUCACCUUGCAGACCAAGACUGGUUACUUACUGAAGCUAAUCAGGGCUGAGUCUGGUCAGUACCUUGAUGUGAUACCACAUGGGAAAACUAGGUUGCUGUUGGAA
ensembl:rRNA 5S_rRNA 5S ribosomal RNA